AAAAAACAGAGCUAGCUUGAGCGCUAAACUAGCGAAAAGAGACAAAGAACAGAAGACAAUAGAGCGAGCUUAAGCGUUAAACUAACUAAAACAGAUAAAGAACAGGAGACAACAGAGCUAGCUUGAGUGCUAAACUAACUAAAAGAGACAAAGAACAGGAGACAACAGAGCUAGCUUAGGUGCUAAACUAACUAAAAGAGACAAAAACAGGAGACAACAGAGCUAGCUUAGGUGCUAAACUAACUAAAAGAGACAAAAACAGGAGACAACAGAGCUAGCUUGAGCGCUAAACUCACCAAAAAAGACAAAUAACAGAAGACAACAGAGCUAGCUUGAGCGCUAAACUCACCAAAAAAGACAAAUAACAGAAGACAACAGAGCUAGCUUGAGCGCUAAACUAACUAAAACAGA